CCGCGCCACAAGUGGGGACCUCGUUUAUUGGGCCUAAAGCGUCCGUAGCUGGUUUAGUAAAUCUUCUGUGAAAUCGUUGAGCUUAACUUAACGGCGUGCAGGAGACACUACUAGACUCGGAACCGGGAGGAGUUAGGAGUAUUCUGGGGGGAGCGGUAAAAUGCUAUAAUCCUUGGAAGACUACCUGUGGCGAAGGCGCCUAACCAGAACGGAUUCGACAGUGAGGGACGAAAGCUAGGGGAGCGAACCGGAUUAGAUACCCGAGUAGUCC
rnacentral:rRNA from 1 species